UUCAGGGAAGAGUUCACUUCUUCAAACAGGAGGUCAGAGAGCUUGGAGGUGGUAGGCACAGAUAGACAAAAACUGGCACACAAGACCCAGAGUUCAGAUGAAUUAAUAAUGUCUCCUUUUUAUUGUUGUGGAUUUGCUAUUGUUCAGGUUUGCUAUUGCUCAGGCCGGUGUGUUGAAACAGGGACUUACUAUAGAGUUCUGGCUUGUCUAGAAUUCAUGACAUAGACCACACUGGCUUGACUUUCUUGUGGUCUUCUUCCUCUGCCUCUGGAGUACAGGGAUUACAGGUAUGGGCCACUGCUUCCAACAACUCAGUACUCAAGUGAAGCCACAACUGGCCCAAGAACCUUCCAGUAUGUUCCACCUCUGAAGGUUCACAAAGUUCCACCCCCACAAUGGGUCCAACUUUCCAACCAACACACACACCCAUGUUGGCACAGGAAUGGGGGAUGCUCGAGAGUCCAAAGCAUAGCUCAUCCAUGGAGUUAUGUUGUGAAUGCUGAUGAAAGCAUGUGUGUCCAGGCUGAGAAUCUACCAUGGUGAGGACAGCUGGCAGCAGGUCAGAAGAGGACUGAGAGAUCACAGAGAAAGAAAACCACAAUUAGGCCAGACUACCGACCCUCAAAACCUGCCCCAAGCGAUGUGCUGCCAGCAAGACUCCACCUCCUGAAGCUUCCAGAAACUCCCGUAGCAGCACCAUCAACAGGAGACCAAGGGUCAAGCCCUGCAGCCCAGGUCCUAAUGGCUAAAGCAUCCUUCUGUGUGCUGUGUCAUCUCCAUCCACCAAGUAGCACUCCAUCAAGGACCAGCAGCUAGCCCCUGCUUCAGAAGCUGCAAAAAAGGGUGAGCUCUACGAACCACAAUCACAAAGGAAAUCAUUUAAUGACCUCAGAGCUAUGGUACGGAUAAACGAAGUUGUAAGAAAAUCAGCCCUAAAGAGUACUCCAGGUAGGUGAC